AGGUCUAGAUCACUUGCUCUGAGCAACAGACACCGAAUGGAGAACAAAGGACAACAACAACAGAUGACAAACAUUAUGGGAACUGUGAAGAAAACUCCCCAAAACAACAGUCAGUGACAACAUCAACAACCUCCACAGCGCAGGAGGUUGUUUUUUUCCAAACUGGGUGUAGUGACUACUGGUUCUUUUCUGAUAGUGAUAGUAGUGAUAACUUUAAUAUUGAUGAUUACCUUCUCAAAACAUAACAUCCUCAAAGAUUAUUAUGGUCUGUGUUAUGGAUGUAACCAAGUACUGUGUCUGUAUAUUGAGUGAUCUGAAGCCAAUACUGCUAUAAACUUAUGUAAAUGCAGGGAAGUGGAACUUUACACUGGUCCAGUGUGAGCGGCCAUGUUGAGUUUGCGUCACUCCGUAAACAGGAAGGGAACUGGUAUUUGAGAAGACUACCCCAAGGUGACGAGUUGAAAUUUCAAGUGGAGGCGCAUUUUCGGUGGUUUUUACAGGUUGUAAGUGGGGAAUUACAAUAGAUUUGUUUGUAUUUUUUCCUUAAUAAUAGAUUUGAACUCUCGCAGCGGUGCCAUACGUAUGUUUUCGAACUAAAAUUAAUAUACAAAAAGUAACAUCAAAAAUAUUAAGAAAUAAAAAUUGAACAAAUAAAAGAAAACAAUAUUAUUGGUAAUAGACGUCAUCAGGUGACGUGUUCAGCGCACGCGCACUUAAAAGUUUGGCCUGGGUUUGUUACCGGAAGUUAGCUUUUUGUGAAUAUUUUUGUUCUGUAAAUUUAUAUUUAUUAGAACCUUUCCCCGUGUUGUACGCAAUGAAUGUGAGGUAUGUAUCAGAUAAAGUAGUACCAGUGUGAGAUAUUUUAUGAUAACGAGCUGUGUUCAGUUUAAGGCCUGGUUGAGCUAAGCUAACUCGCCACUGCAGGAGAAACUGUAUAACGGAGCUGGCUAAUUUCCUGACCUAGCUAUACUAGCUAAAAUAUAUUCUACAGCUGUUCUAUUACUCCAAUUAAAUAACUAUAUCCUUCUCCACCUUUACACUCAGAUUAUUAACUUAUCUUCUGAUUUAAACAUCUUUUGUUGUAUAAGAGUUUAACGGAAACUGGAUUAAGUAGCUAGACCGCAUUUAGCUCACUCUGAUAUUAUUAAUGACAAGUUUAGCUUUUUUAGUGGUGUGUAGCAGGUCAGUCAUGGGGAACUCCUUUCUAACUCCACUAUACGGUGAUCAUACUGUGAAUUUAUUCUGCUGUUCCACCUCUUUUUGUUUUUUAAUUACAGCUGGAUUUUCUUCACCUUCCCGCUUCUGAUACACACAGUUGAGCGUUUCACACCGCAAAGGACUUUUUAAUACAGUUACAAACUUCUUGUGAAUUGGGAUUGUACAAGGACAUUUGGGAUUACUCAUGGACUCUUAAAAGAUCAGCACAUGACCAGUCUUCCUCUGUACCUAUACUAAGAUCUCCACAAAGGGCUUCAUUCCGCUGGUCCACCUUCAUUCGUCCUCUCAAACGUAAUAACUGGUGAGACCAUUCCAGUUUGGCACAAGACUCUUGUUUACGGACAAUUUGUGUAUAUACGCUGGAUUUUCUGCUUCACCUUCCUGCUUCUGAUACACACAGUGUCAGUGCAGAGUGUCCCUGUUGAAGGUUUUACAGGAGAAACCGUUCACUUACCGUGUUCACUUGGACAGAAGCUGCAGACUCUGCAUUGGCGAUACAACGACAGCAGGACGGUCUGUGACAUCAGUGACGGUAAAGCGGAUUUUGAUGAGCAGCAUCCAGUCUAUAAAGACAGCGUUAAAAUUUCUCAAUCAGAAAUUUAAAAGGGGGAUUUCUCAAUCACACUGGGCAACGUGAAGGAAUCUGAUUCAGGACAGUACACCUGCACCGUCCCAAACAGCAAGACCCUGACACUAGAACUAACUGUUAAAGGAAGUAGGUUUGUCUCGUCAUCUCGCUGAAAACCCGUUUUCGGCAAAGUCUGAAGCUCCUGGCAGAGGCAACCAGGAGAUCAUUUUCUGAAAUAUUCUGAUGAAUAGCAGAAUUCUUGACGCCACCAACCUUCACUACAGUCCCUGAACCAUCAAACACAAUACAUCCCCAGAGCAACACCGAUCCACCACCAUGUUUUACAGCAGCUAUCGGGUGUUUUUUUCUUUCCUGCAUGCUUUUUCAAUUCUUCACCAAUCAUGCUACUGGGAUGCAAAAUCAAAAGGUUUGAAGAGGAACGUCUUUCUUGCAACACCUCUGAACUUCUUGUUAAGAAAGUGGUGUUUUAACAUAUACCCCCCCCCCCCCCAACUUGACAAUCACAAGAAUCCCGCAACUUGUGCGUUUCUUCUAAAAACUGAUCUUUAUACUCUCUUUUCCCCUCCACCCUCCUCCUCAAUCAUGGGCCAAAUCUCCCCCCACCCCCAAAUAAAUAAAUAAAUAAAUAAAUAAAUAAAUUUUGUUAAGCCUCUAAAUAUUAUGCUUAAUGAUAUUUUUAAACUGUUUAAGUAUUUUUAUGCUCUUGCUCUUUUGUGUUAAAUGUUCUGGUAAAGGGCUUCCCCCAAGUACAAUUAAUAUAUUUUUUGGAGAAAAUUAUUUAAAAGGUUAUUCUAAUGAGAAUGAUCCAUCUACACAUGUACUUGGUUUAGUUAAUGGCUUCUGUUUGUGUCCAGCAGAGAAACCAAUCCCACUAACAGGUGAAUCUCCGAGACCAGCAGAAGGUCUUUUAACGUUCCUGCUGGGAUGUGCUCUGCUCUUCAACUUAACCUUCUGAAGAAAACCCCAAGCUCUGUGUGUGUAUUAUCUUCACAUCAUCACAGCAAUGUCUUUUACAGAUUUCUGUUCAGUUUUUAAUUUCUUUCACUAAAAACAGUACUACUUUGGAUCGAGAGUAGACCGAGUUGCAUUGAUGAUAAUGGAUCAGGUUUUAUAAUGAAUUCUGCUGGGUUUUCUGUUGAAUCAUCAUGUUAAUGAAGGAAAACAUACACCUGAUGAAACUCGUUAUGAUGAUAACGUGUAUACGUGCAACAUAAAAAAAGCAUAUUAAAAGUAUGGCUUCGA